rnacentral:rRNA from 1 species
AUUGAACGCUAGCGGGAUGCCUUACACAUGCAAGUCGAACGGAGUGGCGAACGGGUGAGUAAUGUAUCGGAACGUGCCCAGUAGCGGGGGAUAACUACGCGAACGCGUAGCUAAUACCGCAUACUAUUGGCGCGGCCGAUAUCGGAUUAGCUUGGUGGUGUGGUAACGGCUCACCAAGGCGACGAUCCGUAGCUGGUUUGAGAGGACGACCAGCCACACUGGGACUGAGACACGGCCCAGACUCCUACGGGAGGCAGCAGUGGGGAAUUUUGGACAAUGGGGGAAAGCCUGAUCCAGCCAUCCCGCGUGUACGAAGAAGGCCUUCGGGUUGUAAAGCACUUUUGGCAGGAAAGCGGUACCUGCAGAAGAAGCACCGGCUAACUACGUGCCAGCAGCCGCGGUAAUUC